GUGGUUGUAACUCAGUGGGUUGAGUGCUUGCCUCUAAUGUGUGAGGCAUUGGGUUCAAUUCUCAGCACCACA
rnacentral:tRNA from 1 species